rnacentral:misc_RNA from 1 species
CGGGCGUGGGAGGGCAGG